CUCUAGUAAUGCCGGAAAUAAUACCUGUCCCACCCUCCUUGUAGUGGCUUUCAGAGGAGUCCAGCAAGGCCAUCAACAAGUAUUUCCUGAGAAGAUGCUGUGUGCCUGACCUUGAGAGAACUCGGUGGGAGUGUUCUCGGGAAAGGGCCAGUGGGAGCUGUCCUGUCCUCCCACGUUAAUUCCCCAGCUUUUCUCAUCCAGCAGCAGGAUGGUUAAGAGCACAGACUCCAGUAGCUCCCAGGGGCAGGAGCAGAGAUGAAACUAGAGUGUCCAGGAAUUGAUAAUUCCCGAAGCUGGGUGAUGGGUCGAUGGGCAUCGGGGGGUGGGGGGGGGUCCUUUAUUCUAUUCUACUGUUAAUAUGUUUGAAAUGAUUCCUAAUUAAAAAAAAAAAAAAUGUAACAAGACUACAGCCUGUGGAGCCACACUGCCUGGAUUUAAAUCCAAGACCUGCUGCUUACUGACUGUGUAGACCUGGGGAGAGUUACUUAACUCCUCUGUGUCCGUUUCCUCUUCAGUUAAACAGGGAUACUAAUGGUGAGCUGCCCCAGGGAGUGUUUGUGAAGAUUAGAUGAGUAAACGCGCAUAAGGCCCUUGGGUUAGUGCCUGUACGGCUGAGUUCUCAACACACAGUUACAAUGCCUUACAGAAACCAGGCACCAGAGAACGAUGUGUGACUGAGCUCAAGUCAUCAGGGACACCUUCACAGAACCACACAGUCAGCCUUGCAGUUCCCCUCGGUCAUACCUGCUGCUUGGCUUUGUCUCAAUUCGGGUUUCCUGCAAACUGCGGCAGGAUAUGAGUGCAAGUAGUUGUUUGGGGAGGAGACUUCGAGAAACACCAGCAAGAGAGUGAGGCAGUGAGAAUGGGAACAGAUGGCCUGUGAUGGCACCAGAGCGGGCAGCUGUGCACGAUCCCAUGGGUGGCCCUGGGAUCCAGCACAGAGCAGGCGCUCGGGGCUAUCCCACCCGAGGGGGCGCAGAGCCCGGGGCAGAGGCAGGUGCCAGCAAGCUGGUAGCCGUGAGAACAGAUGCUGAGGGGGUGUGGACGGGGCACGCAGAAUCCACCUGUGAGCUCUCUUAACGGCUCUUCUGACACCUGCUUAAAGCCUUGCCGUGACGGGGCUUCCCUUCAGAACGAACCUCACUCCAAGCUAGAUGGCCCUGACUUACCAUUAAAUGAGGGGUAAUAAGGACAAAAGCACUUCAGUAUUGGUUUUCAGUCACAGCAGCCCCUGGAAUAGGAAUGGUGGUGUGCCAUUAGGACUGCUGCCUCCCUGCUGCUUCAGGGGACACCUCUCUUCUCAGUCCUAGCACUUUUUUGUUGUUUGUUUAUUUUUGAGAGACAGAGAGAGCAUGAGCAGGGGAGGGGCAGAGAGAGAGGGAGACAAAGAAUCCGAAGCAGGCUCCAGGCUCUGAGCUGUCAGCACAGAGCCCGACACGGGGCUUGAACUCACGGACUGUGUGACCAUGACCGGAGCCGAAGUCGGACACUUAACCGACUGAGCCACCCAGGCGCCCCUCAGUCCUGGCAUUUUUAUGCUGAGCCAGAAUAUAGCCUCAGAGCCUUUCUUAAUAUAGCUUUAGGUAUCCAUUACAACCCAUUAGCUUAGGCACUUCAGUGAAGCCUGUUUUCCAUCCCUGCCCUAGUGCUUAUGAAGCUGGGGGAACCCCCAGGGUGGAAGACGCCGUGUUGCUGUAUGAUUCUGGGCAAGAACACAUUUAACUUCUCUGGCCCUCCCCCAUCCCCCUCUGGACGGAUCGAAGGGCCUGAGAGCAGUGAGGCAGAGGUGGAGUUUGUUCGGUACAGUAGGAAGAGCCUGCUCUUUGACAGUCAGGCUGGGUUGUAGACCUUGGCUUCAUCAUUUAUGAACUGUGUUCCUUGGGCAGGCUCCAUUUCCCGCUCUGAGCUUCGUGGUAUCGUCUGUAAAAUGGGGUCGUAAUACCCCAUCUGUGGUGUUAUUGUAGGUGUCAGAGAUUACGUGUAUGAAGCAGGGAGCUCCACGUGUGGGCAGGGGCUCAGUAAUUGUCCCUUAGAAUUGUCAUCAUCAUGACCAUCAUCAUCUUCAUCCAAAUCCUCUUCCAGCUCUCCAAUUCUGUGACUUCAGGGAACGUGCUCAUCCAAGAAGACAGUGUGGUAAGAGAAGGCAACGGCCCUGAUUUUGUGUAAAUGCAUUUCCUGGUAAGGACAGGAGGCACAUAAUUGCCCCUAAAUAAUUGCUCCGACUUUACCACAAGCUGUCAAAAGGCCCUAAUUGGUCGAUCUGUAAUGACUGCGGCCAUCUGCGUGCGGGGUGAUUUAGCGACGGGGCUCUGCCCGAGCCGGGCCCUCGAUGAUUAGAGCCAGCCGGGGUGAUAUUUCACCCUCUGAUGGGAGUAGUGGUGUGUGGGUGAAGGAAAUUAUCUCAUCCUUGUUUUAAUGACCUACCAGUUGAACCCAGCCAAGAGGCAGCGGUGGUCACAGACAAUGACUAUGGAUUUUUCUUUCUUUUUUUUUUUUAAAGAUAGUGUUCCUGCCCGAACAGCAGCAUAUCUGGAGCAUGAUCAUGCCUCUUGCUAUCUUGUUUCACUGCCCAAGAAAGUCUCUUUUGGAAAGAUUUAGUCCCUCAAUUAGGGCAAAUUGAUUUCUGCUUUCUACAGAGUCACUGUUCCAAAGAGAAGUGGUAAAGGGCAGGAGGCGCCAUAUUAAUCUUGGCAGGCAAGCAGGAAGGCGGCCCGGAGUAUUUUUCAGCCUUCCAGCCUCGGCUUGUACAUGUGGAGAUCAUCUUUUCUCUGUAUGUCUUUUAAUUGCUCCGACCUCCAAGAUGCCAGGGGAUACAACACAAAACACACUUCAGGUCGUGGAAGUUUCUGGAGACUUCCAUCGAGCCACUGGAGCAGUGUCCUGUGCAGAAGUGGUUUUAAGUGGCUCCUGAGAUGAUCUCAGUUGGUUCAGAGACUUUGCAUUAGGCCGCAUUGAAUCAUGUGGAGAGUUUUUCUCUUUCUAACUCCUGUCGUGUCUUCUGGUUACCUCGGAUGGAGAGCCUCGGUUGGUUUCCCGUGUCUCCCUUCUUGACAGAGAAGCAGACCGUGAGCUCCCAGUGUGGGAGGGAGGGGCAGGAAGAUCUGCCUAAAAUUGAGUCACAUUGUUUUAUUUUUAUUUGUUUCGGUUUUUCAUUAACUCUUGAUUCCAUUUGGUAUCAAUUUUCCAUUUAUGAUGUUUAUUUCCCUUUAAAGUAAACGUAAUUCAGUAAUUUUUUUUUUUAAUUUAAAAAGGUGAGUUGAUUUAAAAAAAACAGAUUAGAGUGGGAUAGUAGAACUGG